rnacentral:siRNA from 1 species
UGGGUGUGAGUCGUGUGACUAUCC